CUAUAUUGAAGACCUUAAAGAAAGAGAAUCUGUUCCCAGCUAUACCACCAAAGUGUCUUUUAGCCUUCAACUUUGAUAUCCAUCAGAAGACUGCAAAUCUCACUAUUCUCUGGAGCUAUAUAUAAAUCUUUGUUAUGAUCAUGUCAUAUAGGAAGAAUGGCUUGUGCUUAAGGACAAAGUCUAGAAACCACUAUCAUAGUUGCUAAAAAAAAUGGUUUUCAAAUGUCAAAUACAUGAGUAUCUCCCUCCAUGGACUGGAGAAUUGAAAAAUUGGUUUGUAUAUUGAUAUUUCCAGGUUCAUUUGCAUAUACUUUUUUCCAAAUAAUGCACAUUUAAUAUGUUUUAAAAUGUCUUAUUUUUAAGAAUUAUAACUAAAAGACCAAAUACUGAAGUUAAGUGCAUUGUUUUCAGGAAUCAAAAGAUAAAGGGGCCGGGUGUGGUGGCUCACACCUGUAAUCCCAGCACUUUGGGAGGCCGAAGUGGGUGGAUCACCUGAGGUCCGGAGUUCGAGGCUGGUUUGGCCAGCAUGGCGAAACCCCAUCUCUACUAAAAAUACAAAAAAUUAGCUGGGCAUGGUGGCAGUUGCCUGUAAUCCUAGCUACUCAGGAGGCUGAGGCAGGAGAAUCGCUUGAACCUGGGAGGUGGAGUUGCAGUGAGCCGAGAUCAUGCGACUGCACUCCAGCCUGGGUGACAGAGCCAGACUCUGUCUC
rnacentral:lncRNA from 1 species